GCUGGGGCAACUCAGUUGGCAGAGCAUGAGACUCUUAAUCUCAAGCUCUGGGUUCAAGCCCAACACUGGGCA